GAUGAAGAACGCAGCGAAAUGCGAUAAGUAAUGUGAAUUGCAGAAUCCAGUGAAUCAUCGAAUCUUUGAACGCACAUUGCGCCCGCCAGCAUUCUGGCGGGCAUGCCUGUUCGAGCGUCAUUUCAACCCUCGACCUCCCCUUGGGGAGGUCGGCGUUGGGGACCGGCAGCACACCGCCGGCCUGAAAUGGAGUGGCGGCCCGUCUGCGGCGACCUCUGCGUAGUAAUACAGCUCGCACCGGAACCCCGACGCGGCCACGCCGUAAAACACCCAACUUCUGAACGUUGACCUCGAAUCAGGUAGGACUACCCGCUGAACUUAAGCAUAUCAAUAAGCGGAGGA
rnacentral:misc_RNA from 1 species